rnacentral:lncRNA from 1 species
CUGAGAGGGGGAAGAAAUUGCUUGGGUGUGGUUGCAAUCCAUCAAGGAUUGAGGGAGAAAGGUUUUAAUUCCAUACCAGAUAUUAGAGAAAAAAAGGUGAGAUGAAGAGAUGUAGGGAUUUUUGUUCUCUAGUGAAGAAGAUACAUGAAAAUAUAGAUGAAUUUUUUAUGGAGGAUUUAUAGAGAAACAUGGCCUGCAUAUAGCCAUUUUUGUGUCAAGAGAAAUUUGUUGAUUUGUUGAUGAUAGGUAGAUGANNNNNNNNNNNNNNNNAUGGAUACAUUUAAGAAGUGCAUGUUGGACAGAUGGAAUGUUGCAUGGAAGAUUGCAUGGGUUUGAGUAUUAAUGAGAGGAAUUUGCAGGUCUUCUGAUACAGUGAA